AUACACAUUUCAAGUAGUUAUCAAUUGUUUUUUAUCCAAGAGUAUUUUGAGAUUUCGUGGAAGGUGGAAAAGUCAGAAAAGAGCUUAUAUGGAAAUAUUCGCGGUUUUUUCCUCAAGUCUUAACUGCCGCUUUUAUUGGUUUUCUUAUGUCUUAUUUCCAAAAAUUCUGUUAAUAGAGUUUGUUAUCAACAUUUAUUACAUGGCUUGGUUGAAUUAUAAUGUAGAAUGCGGUAUGUUAUUUCUUGAUAACAGACCGCUGCCUGCCAAGUAUAACAGACCGUUGGUUGAAAAAAACUGAUGAAAAACAGAGCGUUGCCGUGGAGACGGGGCGGACUAUUUUCUUUAGCGGAAGCCAUAUAAAUCGUUUUUAAAUAAAUAACUUCCUUUUUAAAUCAAUAUUUUGUGCCAAAUUAUUUAUUUAUUUGGUAGGUAGCCAUGUAAUAAGCGGGAUACUGUAUAGCGAGGUGGUUGUUAUAGCGAAUACAACCCCUGGCUUCAGGCUGAUUCAAGACCCCUCCGCUUCGAGCGGGCUCUUAAUCAGCCUGUCAACAACCGCCUAGCUAUACAUUCUCCCUUACAUACCGGUAUUCAGUAUUUCUCUAACGAUUUUACUGUAAAUGCAGUUUUACUCUCAGAUUAACGUUACCUCACGGCCGAAUGACAGCCGCGCUGCGCCUCAUAACGUUACAACUCUGCUCAGUGGACUAGGAAGAAAGUGCGCCACACUGUCAUCGCGACGCUGGCCUUAGGAAGGGAAAAGAGUCAAAUGUAGAUUCAGAAAGAGCUACUCAAAUGACAGAGUGGCUUAAAAAUAAUAUCUGGCCACUAAGUCAGGUUGAGCAAUACAUGAAGGAGACGUCUAUCCAUAGGGCCAAAUGGAUUCGUGACAAUGGAACCAAGACAAUGAUGGAAAUAUUCAAGGAGUAUCCACGUCUCCUCGACACUCCAGGCAUGAUAUCCCAGGAUUUCUUAAUUUUGAAUCCAGACUCCGCUUCAAAACACCUGUGUUUAAGGAUAAGAUUCUGCAGUUUGCCAGUAGAGAGAAACAAUCUCUUGAUCUACUUUCCAGUGUAGAAUUGAUGUCAGCAGAGACGCAGAGUGAUGUCGCCCUGCAAGUACUUCCUGUAGUCCUUCCCACAUCAGUGUACAAGAUUGGAAGGAAAACGUUUAAACCAACUUUCAUUGACACCGGAAGGCCUUCAUAGACAUACAGCCUGUAAGUUAACAGACAUUGCUAAAACUACAUGAUUUAAGUAUUUACAAUAUAUUGUAUGGAUCCUUUUCACAGACAGACACAUUUUAACAAUUAUCAAUGUCACAAAUCUAGUAAUGUUUUUAA